rnacentral:misc_RNA from 1 species
AUCAACAGUAACUAAUGUCUUACCACAUUUGCUAAGAAAAAAAAAAUAAUAGCAUUGAAAAAUUAAAACACGUGUGAUAUAAAUUAUAAGCAAAUUUUGGAGAGUGGAGGGCUACAAAACUAAAAAUUAUCAUAAUAUUUUUAUAAUUACUUAAAUAAAUAUAAAUAAAUAUAUGUAUAAAUAGAAUGUGGAUGGCCCCCUCUGCCAAUAAUUCCGCCACUGUGUAUUGUGUAAUUAACAUUUAUCAUAUUUUAGAAAAGCAGUCCUUUAUCCAAUGAGAAUCAACAGAGCAUGUUCCUGUUUUCCGUUUGCUCCUCAGCAAAUAAGGAAAUCCAUGUACAAAUGUUCAGCCAAUUGAAAAUGAAACAGUAUUCAUCAAAAUAAGAUAAAAGAAAAAGGAUUAAAAGAAGAGAAAUGUGGAUAACAAUUCAACAUUUCCAUUUCUCUAUAAUCUAAGUUUUGGAUAAGAGAGCACUACAAAUGUUAUCAACGGCCAAUCGCAAUUCGCAUUCUAAUUUAUACUGUAUAAUUCCACCACAAAUAACUAACCCCUUAUCUGAUUGCCUUAAUCUUUCAUUCAAGUAACCUAGCACGAAAAUGAAAAAGAAAUAACGAAUCAAAAAAGGUUCAAGGAAAUUUGGUCAACUGAGCUAUGGUUAAUUGAUCUAAAACUAUCUAACCAGUAAUCAAAGCUCAAAGCGCAGCAAAUUUCACCGUUUACACAGGUCAAAAUCAAUCCAGAAACAAAAAAAGAUUCAGCUGGAUCGUCAGUGAACCGGAGGAGUCAUGUAGCCGAAACAAGAUCAUUUUCAGAUCUAUACAAACAAAAACACUAAACCGGAGGAAUCAUAUAGCAAAUUUUUUCCCGAAUCGAAACACUCUAACAUCAACAAGCGAGCAAGAAUUCAAAAACAGAUCCCAUCAACCACUAAAUAAAAAUUUCACCGAACAAAAUAAAAGGACACGAGAAAUGAUCGAUCAAGAAACUCACAGCGGCGACGCCACCACCGACGA